rnacentral:lncRNA from 1 species
GGGGGGGGUGUACACACCAGCAUGCAAAGGCAUUUGAGGGCUGUGCGUGUGCAGGGGGUGGGGUGGGGGUGUGCACAUGUGCAUGCAAACAACAGGUGGGUGGUGAGCACAUCUGAGUGCAAGAGGGUUGAGGCAGUGUGCGGGAGUGGGCACUUGCAAGGCUUUGAGGGGUGCGUGCAAGGAGCAGGGGAGGCGCGUGCAAGGAGCAGGGGAAGCGUGUGCAUGGGUGUGUGCAAGUGGUUUGCAGGGCGGUCCACACGCAAGGGUGGGGAAAGGGGUGGGUGUGCAAGGAGCGUGAGGGCAGCAUGGGCUGGUGUGCAAGGAGGGGGUGUGAGCGUGUCCCUAGGCCAUGGGUGGGGGGGGUACAAGGGGUCAUAGGUCAAUGCAGAGGACUUGCAGGCGUGAGCCUGGCCGCGGGGGAGGGGGGGAGCAACCGGGGUGUGUGCAUGUGUGUGCAGCUGAGGCCAAGGAGGGGGGCUGGUGAAGUGGAUCAUGUCCCCUCCUCUCCCCCCUGGAGCCCACGGCUUCCCGUACGCCCCAGCAAGGAGACGCCGUCCCCGCAUCCCAGGACUCCGGGAGCUGGGGACGGGCACAGUGAGGCCGGGCUCAGGCCCGGGGGCGCAGCAGCCUCCCCCGCCAGGCCCAGCUCAGGCUCUGCCGGCCCGGCCCUCUUGCUGUACGUCCUCCACCCAGCAGGAGUCUCUGGAAGGAGGCCGAGCCCAGCUGCUCUGCGCCCGGCCCAGCCGGGGAAUCGUCUCCUCCAGCCGGAGCACAAACAAGGCUGCGAAGUUGGCAGGAGGCAGCGGUGCCCCGGGUCAGCCUGCGCCGGACCCACGGGCACCGCCACACGGAGCAGCACCCGAGGGGCAGCUCCUCCGGGCACGGGGGACUUCGGAGCGGGUGCUUCCCCCUCCCCGGGCAGGUUCAAUCCCACUCCUGAAACCACCUGCUACAAGAUCAGCACAGCCCUGACCAGGGAUCAGGAGAAAAACCGGACAGACGGCAGAAAUACCUGCAGGCCAAGACCAGACAGCAGCCACCCUUUGUGCCUGCAUUGCCUCGAGGCAGGAUUGCACAGGACUGUGGGUAACAAGCUGGAGAUCCCCAGUGACUGAUAAGGUGCCAAUUAGCUGCCAGCCUCCCCACCCCUGAGCUUCAAAAUCAGGCUUAUAUUGGCCCUAUUUGCCUUUCUUCCUUACAUAUAUUUUGCAACGAGGGGAAUCCAGUGGGGGGUUGCCACUUCCAGGAGUCCCAUCUUCCCUUUCCUUUGGGAAACCAUCAGUUUUCUACCUCCUUCAAAGCCCCCAAAGGCAAG